rnacentral:rRNA from 1 species
AGUAAACGCUGGCGGUAGGCCUAACACGUGCAAGUCGAACGGCAGCACAGGAGAGCUUGCUCUCUGGGUGGCGAGUGGCGGACGGGUGAGGAAUACAUCGGAAUCUACUCUGUCGUGGGGGAUAACGUAGGGAAACUUACGCUAAUACCGCAUACGACCUACGGGUGAAAGCAGGGGAUCUUCGGACCUUGCGCGAUUGAAUGAGCCGAUGUCGGAUUAGCUAGUUGGCGGGGUAAAGGCCCACCAAGGCGACGAUCCGUAGCUGGUCUGAGAGGAUGAUCAGCCACACUGGAACUGAGACACGGUCCAGACUCCUACGGGAGGCAGCAGUGGGGAAUAUUGGACAAUGGGCGCAAGCCUGAUCCAGCCAUACCGCGUGGGUGAAGAAGGCCUCCGGGUUGUAAAGCCCUUUUGUUGGGAAAGAAAUCCAGCUGGCUAAUACCCGGUUGGGAUGACGGUACCCAAAGAAUAAGCACCGGCUAACUUCGUGCCAGCCGCCGCAGUAA